GGAAAUAUAUUGCAUAAACGUCAGUGAGGGAAAUCAUUCAAAAGCAGAGGCUUUAACGGCCAAGGGGGAGAAAUAAACCAGUAAUUUGCAUGCAAAAGACCUAAAUUUUUCUUUGCCAUCCAAUCAGCUACUUGAUUGGCUGAUCUUCUCACAAGACUAAUGGAAUACAAGCGAUUAGGCUAUUUUUGUUCGUGCUGCAUAAUCAACCAUGUGGGCCACGAAUACUGGGACUAGGAGUGGCUUUAUUAGCUAGUAGUUUUCUUCGCAUGACAAUUUCACUGUC
rnacentral:misc_RNA from 1 species